ACAGUCACACGAGUUUGAUACCUGGCUCAGAUUGAACGCUGGCGGCAUGCUUUACACAUGCAAGUCGAACGGUAACAGGCCUUCGGGUGCUGACGAGUGGCGAACGGGUGAGUAAUGCAUCGGAACGUGCCCAAUCGUGGGGAUAACGUAGCGAAAGUUACGCGUAAUACCGGCAUAAGCCCUGAGGGGGAAAUGGGGGACCGCAAGGCCUCACGCGAAUGGAGCGGCCGAUGUCAGAUUAGCUAGUUGGUGGGGUAAAGGCCCACCAAGGCGACGAUCUGUAGCGGGUCUGAGAGGAUGAUCCGCCACACUGGGACUGAGACACGGCCCAGACUCCUACGGGAGGCAGCAGUGGGGAAUUUUGGACAAUGGGCGCAAGCCUGAUCCAGCCAUGCCGCGUGCGGGACGAAGGCCUUCGGGUUGUAAACCGCUUUCAGCCGGAAAGAAAUCGCCGUUUUAAUACAGACGGUGGAUGACGGUACCGGAAGAAGAAGCACCGGCUAACUACGUGA
rnacentral:rRNA from 1 species